GACGAACGCUGGCGGCGUGCUUAACACAUGCAAGUCGAACGGAAAGGCCCUGCUUUUGUGGGGUGCUCGAGUGGCGAACGGGUGAGUAACACGUGAGUAACCUGCCCUUGACUUUGGGAUAACUUCAGGAAACUGGGGCUAAUACCGGAUAGGAGCUCCUGCUGCAUGGUGGGGGUUGGAAAGUUUCGGCGGUUGGGGAUGGACUCGCGGCUUAUCAGCUUGUUGGUGGGGUAGUGGCUUACCAAGGCUUUGACGGGUAGCCGGCCUGAGAGGGUGACCGGCAACAUUGGGACUGGGAUACGGCCCAGACUCCUACGGGAGGCAGCAGUGGGGAAUAUUGCACAAUGGGCGGAAGCCUGAUGCAGCAACGCCGCGGGCGGGAUGACGGCCUUCGGGUUGUAAACCGCUUUCGCCGGGGACGAGGCGGGGGUGACGGUAAUGGGUAAAGAAGCACCGGCUAACUACUU
rnacentral:rRNA from 1 species